rnacentral:lncRNA from 1 species
CAAGGUACUUACCAGAAUAGCGUCAUCAAUUUACCACAAAGUACCUACCGGAAUAUCGUCAUCAACUUACCAAAAAGGUAUUUACAAAAAUAGUGUCAUGAAUUUACCAGAGGUCUUUACAAAUGUAGCGUCAUCAGUUUAUGACAAUGGUAGUUACUAGACACUAUUGUAAUCAAUUUACCAGUUUGUUUAAGUUCUUUCUUUCAGAAUCAGAGUCCAUAUUAUAGGAAAAGAUUACUUUUACAAUUUAGUCUCUUAUACACAGUUCAAAGCCAAAUAAUAUAUAAUAUAUCUUUCUUACCAAAUUGAGUAGACUACAAAUGACAGUACAUGUACAUCAACAGUAAAUAAUAUGAGAAAUUUAUAUAGCUUUCUUAAUACUUUGAAAUAUGUAAGAAUAACUUUCUACUCAAAGCAAAUCCAUCACUAGCUAAUUGGCACCAGUAGAUAAGUCUUGCUCCCAUUGACUAUAUCAGAAAAAAGAUUUGACAGAACAAAGAAUUUCAUCUGAGGGCUGUCAAAAAUGGGAUUCUUGAGCGUACGAGCAAAGACCUGCAUGACGCAGCCUUCAACCUCAUCUGUAGUUCAGGUUUGAACUCUUUUCUUGCUCCCGCUGCAGACUUGCACAGAGAAACGAAUGAAC